CCUAUUUAUAAUGGCGGCAUUCCAUCCUAUUAGAGGAACCUGUUUUUUUAUCGAUAAUCCACGUUAAAUUUCACUUUAAUUUAAAAUUUAUAUACCGCCAUCUAAAGAAUUAAUUUAAUAAUCUUAUUCUAAAUAAAAAAUAAAAAGUUAGGUCAAGGUGUAAUCUAUAUUUAAGAUAAAAUGGGUUACAUUAAAAAUAAUUUUAGGAUAAAUUAAUAAAAAUUUUUUUUUAAAAAGGAUUUAAAAGUAAUAUUAUCAAAUAAUAAUUUAAUAUGAAUUAGA
rnacentral:rRNA from 1 species